rnacentral:rRNA from 1 species
GACAGAGGGUGCAAACGUUGCUCGGAUUUACUGGGCGUAAAGCGCGCGUAGGCGGCUUUGCAAGUCGGGUGUGAAAUCCCCAGGCUUAACCUGGGAACUGCAUUCGAGACUGCAUUGCUAGAGUAUGGGAGAGGGAAGUGGAAUUUCAGGUGUAGCGGUGAAAUGCGUAGAGAUCGGAAGGAACGUCAAUGGCGAAGGCAGCCACCUGGCUUAAUACUGACGCUGAGGCGCGAAAGCGUGGGGAGCGAACAGG